GAUGAACGCUGGCGGCGUGCCUAAUACAUGCAAGUAGAACGCUGAAGGAAGGAGCUUGCUCUUUCCGGAUGAGUUGCGAACGGGUGAGUAACGCGUAGGUAACCUGCCUGGUAGCGGGGGAUAACUAUUGGAAACGAUAGCUAAUACCGCAUAACAGUAGAUGUUGCAUGACAACUAUUUGAAAGGGGCAAUUGCUCCACUACCAGAUGGACCUGCGUUGUAUUAGCUAGUUGGUGAGGUAACGGCUCACCAAGGCGACGAUACAUAGCCGACCUGAGAGGGUGAUCGGCCACACUGGGACUGAGACACGGCCCAGACUCCUACGGGAGGCAGCAGUAGGGAAUCUUCGGCAAUAGACGGAAGUCUGACCGAGCAACGCCGCGUGAGUGAAGAAGGUUGUCGGAUCGUAAAGCUCUGUUGUAAGAAAAGAACGAGUGUGAGAGUGGAAAGUUCACACUGUGACGGUAUCUUACCAGAAAGGGACGGCUAACUACGUG
rnacentral:rRNA from 1 species